rnacentral:RNase_P_RNA from 1 species
ACAAACGCUAUAAUCUAGUAUUAUAGAGGAAAGUCCAUGCUCACAAAAGCUGUGAUGCUUUUAGUGUUUGUGCUAGAGGAAAAAAUAACUCUAGGUAACGUAAGUUAACGGCGAUGAAAUAACCUAAGGCUUGCUAUGGUUAGAGUAAUCAUAAAGUGCUAUAGUGAUGAAGAAUCUGGAAACGGAGGAAGUGGAACAUAGUAAACCCCACAAGUGAGAAACCCAAAUUUUGGUAGGGGAGCUAAGGAGAGAGAAACGAAUCAAACCUUGGAUCAUAUGAUAGAUAAAUGUUUGUCACCAGUAAUGGUACAGAACAUGGCUUAUAA